CACGUAGGGCGCGAGCGUUGUCCGGAAUUAUUGGGCGUAAAGAGCUCGUAGGCGGCCUGUUGCGUCCGCUGUGAAAGCCCGAGGCUUAACCCCGGGUCUGCAGUGGAUACGGGCAGGCUAGAGGUAGGUAGGGGAGAAUGGAAUUCCCGGUGUAGCGGUGAAAUGCGCAGAUAUCGGGAGGAACACCGGUGGCGAAGGCGGUUCUCUGGGCCUUACCUGACGCUGAGGAGCGAAAGCGUGGGGAGCGAACAGG
rnacentral:rRNA from 1 species